GCUGGCGGCACGCCUUAUACAUGCAAGUCGAACGAAGUAGCAAUACUUAGUGGCAGACGGGUGAGUAACAUGUAGGUAUCUUCCCUUUGGUGAGGAAUAACGCGAGGAAACUUGCGCUAAUACCUCAUAAGUCUUUACGGAGAAAGCUUUAUGCGCCGAAGGAUGAGCCUGCACUUGAUUAGUUUGUUGGUGGGGUAAUGGCCUACCAAGACUUUGAUCAAUAGCUGAUCUGAGAGGAUGAUCAGCCACAUUGGGACUGAGACACGGCCCAAACUCCUACGGGAGGCAGCAGUAGGGAAUAUUGCACAAUGGAGGAAACUCUGAUGCAGCGAUGCCGCGUGAGUGAAGAAGGCCCUUGGGUUGUAAAGCUCUUUCGUCGGGGAAGAAAAUGACUGUACCCGAAUAAGAAGGUCCGGCUAACUUCGUGCCAGCAGCCGCGGUAAUACGAAGGGACCUAGCGUAGUUCGGAAUUACUGGGCUUAAAGAGUUCGUAGGUUGUUAAAAAAGUUGGUGGUGAAAUCCCAGAGCUUAACUCUGGAACUGCCAUCAAAACUUUUUAGCUAGAGUAUGAUAGAGGAAAGCAGAAUUUCUAGUGUAGAGGUGAAAUUCGUAGAUAUUAGAAAGAAUACCAAUUGCGAAGGCAGCUUUCUGGAUCAUUACUGACACUGAGGAACGAAAGCAUGGGUAGCGAAGAGGAUUAGAUACCCUCGUAGUCCAUGCCGUAAACGAUGUGUGUUAGACGUUGGAAAUUUAUUUUCAGUGUCGCAGCGAAAGCAUUAAACACACCGCCUGGGGAGUACGACC
rnacentral:rRNA from 1 species